rnacentral:piRNA from 1 species
UCUGCAGGACAUGUGGGAUGGAGCGCCCAC